rnacentral:rRNA from 1 species
UACGGGGGGAGCAAGCGUUGUUCGGAUUUACUGGGCGUAAAGGGCGCGUAGGCGGCCAGCACAAGUCAGUUGUGAAAUCUCCGAGCUUAACUCGGAACGGUCAACUGAUACUGUGCGGCUAGAGUGCGGAAGGGGCAACUGGAAUUCUCGGUGUAGCGGUGAAAUGCGUAGAUAUCAAGAGGAACACCUGCGGCGAAGGCGGGUUGCUGGGCCGACACUGACGCUGAGGCGCGAAAGCCAGGGGAGCGAACGGG